rnacentral:rRNA from 1 species
GACGAACGCUGGCGGCGUGCUUAACACAUGCAAGUCGAACGGAAAGGCCCUGCUUUUGUGGGGUGCUCGAGUGGCGAACGGGUGAGUAACACGUGAGUAACCUGCCCUUGACUUUGGUAUAACUUCAGGAAACUGGGGCUAAUCCCGGAUAGGAGCUCCUGCUGCAUGGUGGGGGUUGGAAAGUUUCGGCGGUUGGGGAUGGACUCGCGGCUUAUCAGCUUGUUGGUGGGGUAGUGGCUUACCCAGGCUUUGACGGGUAGCCGGCCUGAGAGGGUGACCGGCCACAUUGGGACUGAGAUACGGCCCAGACUCCUACGGGAGGCAGCAGUGGGGAAUAUUGCACAAUGGGCGGAAGCCUGAUGCAGCAACGCCGCGUGCGGGAUGACGGCCUUCGGGUUGUAAACCGCUUUCGCCUGUGACGAAGCGUGAGUGACGGUAAUGGGUAAAGAAGCACCGGCUAACUACGUG